GAAUUUUGGACAAUGGGGGCAACCCUGAUCCAGCCAUGCCGCGUGUGUGAAGAAGGCCUUCGGGUUGUAAAGCACUUUCGGCCGGAACGAAAUCGCGCGAGCUAACACCCCGCGUGGAUGACGGUACCGGACGAAGAAGCACCGGCUAACUACGUGCCAGCAGCCGCGGUAAUACGUAGGGUGCGAGCGUUAAUCGGAAUUACUGGGCGUAAAGUGUGCGCAGGUGGCCGCGCAAGUCGAGUGUGAAAGCCCCGGGCUUAACUUGGGAAUUGCGCUCGAGACUACGUGGCUAGAGUGUGGCAGAGGAAGGUGGAAUUCCACGUGUAGCGGUGAAAUGCGUAGAGAUGUGGAGGAACACCGAUGGCGAAGGCAGCCUUCUGGGCCAACACUGACGCUCAUGCACGAAAGCGUGGGGAGCAAACGGG
rnacentral:rRNA from 1 species